CCUACGGGGGGCAGCAGUGGGGAAUUUUGGACAAUGGGCGCAAGCCUGAUCCAGCAAUGCCGCGUGCAGGAUGAAGGCCUUCGGGUUGUAAACUGCUUUUGUACGGAACGAAACAGCUCUUUCUAAUACAGAGGGCGAAUGACGGUACCGUAAGAAUAAGCACCGGCUAACUACGUGCCAGCAGCCGCGGUAAUACGUAGGGUGCGAGCGUUAGUCGGACUUGCUGGGCGUAAAGCGUGCGCAGGCGGUGAAAUCCCCGGGCUCAACCUGGGACCUGCAUGUGUGACUGCAUCGCUGGAGUACGGCAGAGGGGGAUGGAAUUCCGCGUGUAGCAGUGAAAUGCGUAGAUAUGCGGAGGAACACCGAUGGCGAAGGCAAUCCCCUGGGCCUGUACUGACGCUCAUGCACGAAAGCGUGGGGAGCAAACAGGAUUAGAUACCCGAGUAGUC
rnacentral:rRNA from 1 species